AGUCGCUGUUGAAAAACGAGUGAUCCACUUCGCCCUCCAGUUCUUUGGGGCUGUACAUAACAGGUGUCUUCUUCAGCACUCUGGUCGAGAACUGAAGAGAGAUAACGGGUUUUGCGUACCCGAAGAAUUAUCUUGACACAAUCACACAGGACGAGACUGAGCAUCUAAGGCAGCAUUCAUCUGAUGAAGAGGAUUUCUUCUCAUCACUGACAAACAAUCGGUCAGAAGGUACAGGGGAGCUGGAUGGGUGUCUUGCUAUUCCAUCGGACAAAAUGUAUUUACUUUUUUUUGUUUCCGUACAUAAAGAAGUUGUCCCUCAAACUCAACACAGGCCUGCCUGCAUCUGCCGCCUGUGAACGUCUUUUCAGCUGUGCUGGAAUAGUCUACACUGCAAAGCGGGCCAGGAUAGACUCAAUUAAAUUAGAAAAUCAGCUCCUACUGAAACUGAAUGGCAACUUCAGAGAGAAGUGAAGUGAGUUAAGUGUUCGAUAUGCCUUUUGAAUAUUCAUUUGAACCUUUGUGUAUGUAAAGUUGAAGAUGUAAUAUUAAAAUCAGCUGUGCUGGA